AACGAACGCUGGCGGCAGGCUUAACACAUGCAAGUCGAGCGCCCCGCAAGGGGAGCGGCAGACGGGUGAGUAACGCGUGGGAACGUACCCUUAUCUUCGUGAUAGCUCCGGGAAACUGGAAUUAAUACCGAAUGUGCCCUUUGGGGGAAAGAUUUAUCGGAUAAGGAUCGGCCCGCGUUGGAUUAGCUAGUUGGUGGGGUAAAGGCCUACCAAGGCGACGAUCCAUAGCUGGUCUGAGAGGAUGAUCAGCCACAUUGGGACUGAGACACGGCCCAAACUCCUACGGGAGGCAGCAGUGGGGAAUAUUGGACAAUGGGCGCAAGCCUGAUCCAGCCAUGCCGCGUGAGUGAUGAAGGCCUUAGGGUUGUAAAGCUCUUUCACCGGAGAAGAUAAUGACGGUAUCCGGAGAAGAAGCCCCGGCUAACUUCGUG
rnacentral:rRNA from 1 species